rnacentral:rRNA from 1 species
UACGGAGGGAGCGAGCGUUGUCCGAAGUUACUGGGCGUAAAGCGCGCGUAGGCGGGGGAUUAAGUGAGAAGUGAAAGGCUGAGGCUCAACCUCAUGCAGUGCUUCUCAUACUGGUCCUCUUGAGGGUGGUAGAGAGAAGUGGAAUGGCUGGUGUAGCGGUGAAAUGCGUAGAUAUCAGUCGGAACACCAGUGGCGAAGGCGGCUCACUGGACCGGUACUGACGCUGAUGCGCGAAAGCGUGGGGAGCAAACAGG